rnacentral:rRNA from 1 species
UUUCCUACGGGAGGCAGCAGUGAGGAAUAUUGGUCAAUGGCCGGAAGGCUGAACCAGCCAAGCCGCGUGAAGGACGAAGGUGCCAAGCAUUGUAAACUUCUUUUGUCAAGGGACAAAAUCAGGCUCGAGAGCCUGACCGAGGGUACUUGAAGAAAAAGCAUCGGCUAACUACGUGCCAGCAGCCGCGGUAAUACGUAGGGGGCAAGCGUUAUCCGGAUUUACUGGGUGUAAAGGGAGCGUAGACGGAAAGGCAAGUCAGAAGUGAAAGCCCAAGGCUCAACCAUGGGACUGCUUUUGAAACUGUC